rnacentral:misc_RNA from 1 species
GAAAAUUAAAAUUUAUUAAAUUUGUUAAAAAGAUGCAUCCUCCACCCCUUUUUGCCUUACAUCCUUUAUUUUGACCAGUUUAUAGGUCUUGGAUUAUAAUUAUGUACAUGUAACUAUUCUUCUCCCAUCUCCCUGUUUUGCUUCAACAGAAUAUCAAUUCACAGUAAAUGUUAAUGACAAUUGUCAUACUGUUUGUUUGCUUAAAAGUAAUUUGGUUGUUGAUUGUGAGCAUUUUGAUUAAAACGUACAAGAAGAGUAUAAUUUUUCACACAGCUUUUUUAAAACUCUCUUUGAAUCUGACUUUAAAGAAUUCUCUCAGAUUUGAAAAUCACGCUAAUAAUGUAGCAUAAUUCCUGUUGUGCAUUUGUAAAGAAUUGAGAAUCCCUGUACGUUUUAAAUUUGUGUUUUUCUGUAUUUAUUGUGUAUAUGGUAUUAAAGGUUUUACCCUU